rnacentral:rRNA from 1 species
GAUGAACGCUGGCGGCGUGCCUAAUACAUGCAAGUCGAGCGAACAGACGAGGAGCUUGCUCCUCUGACGUUAGCGGCGGACGGGCGAGUAACACGUGGAUAACCUACCUAUAAGACUGGGAUAACUUCGGGAAACCGGAGCUAAUACCGGAUAAUAUAUUGAACCGCAUGGUUCAAUAGUGAAAGACGGUUUUGCUGUCACUUAUAGGUGGAUCCGCGCCGCAUUAGCUAGUUGGUAAGGUAACGGCUUACCAAGGCAACGAUGCGUAGCCGACCUGAGAGGGUGAUCGGCCACACUGGAACUGAGACACGGUCCAGACUCCUACGGGAGGCAGCAGUAGGGAAUCUUCCGCAAUGGGCGAAAGCCUGACGGAGCAACGCCGCGUGAGUGAUGAAGGUCUUCGGAUCGUAAAACUCUGUUAUUAGGGAAGAACAAAUGUGUAAGUAACUAUGCACGUCUUGACGGUACCUAAUCAGAAAGCCACGGCUAACUACGUG